rnacentral:rRNA from 1 species
GGAAGGAGCUGUGGAGGUCCUGGAAGUGCUUAUGCUGACAUGAGUAACGACAAUACGGGUGAGAAUCCCGUACGCCGAAAACCCAAGGUUUCCUGUGGAAGGAUUAUCCGCGCAGGGUUAGUCGGAACCUAAGCCGAGGCUGAAGAGCGUAGGCGAUGGCAAACAGGUUAAUAUUCCUGUACCACUGUUUAGCGUUUGAGCGAUGGGGGGACGCAGGAGGGUAUGCAUACCGGGCGUUGGUUGUCCCGGGUUAAGCCUGUAGGGAGAAGGUCUAGGCAAAUCCGGAUCUUUGUUAAUCCUGAGAGGUGAUGACGAGCCCGCAUGGGCGAAGUUGCAAAUCCCACACUGACAAGAAAAGCCUCUAGUGAGCUAAAUAGUGUCCGUACUCUAAACCGACGCAGGUGGGUGGGAUGAAAAUUCUAAGGCGUUGAGUGAAACCUCGUUAAGGAACUCGGCAACUUAACACCGUAACUUCGGGAGAAGGUGUGCCCUCUCGGGUCAUGGGCCUUGCGUCCGCAGCCUGGGAGGGUCGCAGAGAAGUGGCCGCAGCGACUGUUUACUAAAAACACAGGACUCUGCUAAAUCGCAAGAUGACGUAUAGGGUCUGAUGCCUGCCCGGUGCCGGAAGGUUAAGGGGAAGUGUUAUUCAACUCGUUGGAGAAGCACCGAACCGAAGCCCCGGUAAACGGCGGCCGUAACGAUAACGGUCCUAAGGUAGCGAAAUUCCUUGUCGGGUAAGUUCCGACCUGCACGAAUGGCAUAACGAUUGCGGCGGUGUCUCAACGAGGGGCUCAGUGAAAUUGCAGUGCCAGUGAAGAUACUGGCAACCCGCGGAAGGACGGAAAGACCCCGUGCACCUUUACUACAACUUGACAUUGUAUUCUGGGUAGGUCUGUGUAGGAUGGGUGGGAGGCUGUGAAGCCGGGACGCUAGUUUCGGUGGAGCCAACCUUGAAAUACCACCCUGAUCUGCUUGGGCUACUAACCUGCACCCGUAAUCCGGGUGGGGGACAGUGUCUGGUGGGUAGUUUGACUGGGGCGGUCGCCUCCUAAAGAGUAACGGAGGCGCGCGAAGGUUCCCUCAGGCUGAUCGGAAACCAGCCGGCGAGUGCAAAGGCAUAAGGGAGCUUGACUGCGAGACAGACAUGUCGAGCAGGUGCGAAAGCAGGUCUUAGUGAUCCGGUGGCGCCGAAUGGAAGGGCCAUCGCUCAACGGAUAAAAGGUACGCCGGGGAUAACAGGCUGAUCUCCCCCAAGAGUUCACAUCGACGGGGAGGUUUGGCACCUCGAUGUCGGCUCAUCGCAUCCUGGGGCUGGAGCAGGUCCCAAGGGUAUGGCUGUUCGCCAUUUAAAGCGGUACGCGAGCUGGGUUUAGAACGUCGUGAGACAGUUCGGUCCCUAUCCUCCGUGGGCGGAGGAGAUUUGAGGGAAGCUGCCCCUAGUACGAGAGGACCGGGGUGGACGGACCAAAUGGUGCUCCUGUUGUCGCGCCAGCGGCAUAGCAGGGUAGCUAAGUCCGGAACGGAUAACCGCUGAAAGCAUCUAAGUGGGAAGCCGCUCCCAAGAUAAGAUCUCCCUUCGUUCUCGUAAUGACUGAAGGCCACACGUAGACUACGUGUUUGAUAGGCUGGGUGUGUAAGCGCAGUAAUGUGUUGAGCUAACCAGUACUAAUCGGCCGUGAGGCUUGACU